CUCUAAGGUGGAACGGGAGGGGGGACACCCUUUGGGUGUGCUGGCCUCUGAGACCAGUCCGUCAACCCCUCUUUCGUUCUGCCACCAUA
rnacentral:antisense_RNA from 1 species